rnacentral:rRNA from 1 species
GACGUAGGGGGCGAGCGUUGUCCGGAUUUAUUGGGCGUAAAGCGCGCGUAGGCGGUCCGGUAAGUCGGGUGUGAAAAUCCGGGGCUCAACCCCGGACCUGCAUUCGAUACUGCCGGGCUGGAGGCAGGUAGGGGAGAGUGGAAUUCCUGGUGUAGCGGUGAAAUGCGCAGAUAUCAGGAGGAACACCGGUGGCGAAGGCGGGUCUCUGGGCCGAUACUGACGCUGAGGAGCGAAAGCGUGGGGAGCGAACAGG